GUUACCUCUCAUGGUUUUAUUUUUUAGAGCCCGGAUGACGUAAUCAACGAACUUUGCUGGAGAUGGAUGGCAGAUGGUGCAAGAGCGUCUAAGGGCCAAUGGGGAGGUCUCGCCACCAACUCGGCAGCCUGAACUUACCCAGAAGGCUUGUCGCUGGCUUUCCCUUGGUUCGGACGAGUAAACGGUCAGACUGACCAGCCGUGAUGACAGAAGGAGUAUCGGUCGAUGUUUCCACGGACAAAGCAAGAUGCAAGCAUGAAUCAGAGGUUACGGCCAUUGUUCAAGGGCUGGGUGGUGAUACAUUUACUGUCUUGGCCAAGGGAUGUGAAACCACGACCUUCUACACUUGAGCACAGAUCCACAAGCCUCCGACACAGAUGAAUAAAUCAGGGCAAAGUUAAGUUUUAGGCUCCAGAUUUUCUGCCAGCCUGUACAAGAUGCAUGUUUGUUUUACACCUAAGACUGAGUUUACGGUCUGACGUAGUAGUUUGCAGUUUUAUGAUUUAUUGACAUCUUUGUUUUAAAGCAAGACCAACCAGAAUACUUCAUCUUCAACUAAGAACUAGUGAUUUAAGGGGGAAAAAACUAAAGUAAAAGCUGUUUAUCCAGUUAAGAGGGAAACUAUAGAUGAACUGAGAUCUUUAAACUCAAAAUGUAAUGUUGAUGUUGAAACAGCACGGUUCUAUAUUAAGCUUAUAUUUCCUGAGUGUCCUGCCGCUGCCUGAAAUUCCUGGAAAUCUACAACAAGCUGGUAUAUGAACUCAGACAGCUGCUAAGACAAUGACAUUUCUGCAGAUGUGUCCACAUUCACUAUCAGUAUCACUCAGCAGCCUUAUAUGAACAGGUGAGUGCAUUUCCAGCUUUCCCUGAAACUGACCCGCUGGAUUCUCUCCUAUUUUCGUCCUUCUGGAAUUUCCACUCUAAAAGUCUUCGCGUGGGCCAGCGGAUUAAGGUGAAGGCGAGCGGACGGACGGCCGGCGGACGGACUCCUUACCGAUGGCACUGAAAGCGACGAACUUGUUCUCCCUGGGGUUGAUGUACUGGUCGUACGGACGGUUGCCCCACAUGUGCGCGGCACUGUUCACCAGCCAGGUGGCAUUCAGCACCAGCGCGUAGCGGAGCAGCCCUGGAAUGAAGUAGGCCAACCACAGGGACUCUCCCCACAGGUACCAGGGCACCACCGUGGGAAUGACGAAGCACAUCAGCAGGAUGGAGGGCUUGUAGUGCCUGCCGACAGAACAGCGUGAUCCACGGGGGUGUCUGGCUUAUACAGUUUCGCAAUUAAGCUACGGCCUUGGAUGGGAAUUUUUGGACAAAAGAAACAGAUUGUACACCGUCAGACAAAAGUACUAAUUCGAGGGCACAGUUACUUGUCACUGGGACUGUACCCUCAAGGGGUACCCUAGCUGUAGGUGAAUGUACCUUUUAGUCUAACUUAAGGUACAUAAAUGGAGUUUAAGGGGCAUUUUUGUACCACUGGGGGUACAUUAAUGUUGUUUGUACUUUGAGGAAUAAAUCUUUACCAGAGUUGUA